GACGUACGCUGGCGGCGUGCUUAACACAUGCAAGUCGAACGGUAAGGCCCUUCGGGGUACACGAGUGGCGAACGGGUGAGUAACACGUGGGUGAUCUGCCCUGCACUUCGGGAUAAGCCUGGGAAACUGGGUCUAAUACCGGAUAGGACCACUGCCUGCAUGGGUGGUGGUGGAAAGCUUUUGCGGUGUGGGAUGGGCCCGCGGCCCAUCAGCUUGUUGGUGGGGUGAUGGCCUACCAAGGCGACGACGGGUAGCCGGCCUGAGAGGGUGACCGGCCACACUGGGACUGAGGUACGGCCCAGACUCCUACGGGAGGCAGCAGUGGGGAAUAUUGCACAAUGGGCGCAAGCCUGAUGCAGCGACGCCGCGUGAGGGAUGACGGCCUUCGGGUUGUAAACCUCUUUCAGCACCGACGAAGCGCAAGUGACGGUAGGUGCAGAAGAAGGACCGGCCAACUACGUGCCAGCCGCCGCGGUAACAC
rnacentral:rRNA from 1 species